AAACCGCUUAGGGGUUAAGCCCGAUGAACCCGAAUAUCUGAAAUGGAAAAUUCAAUAGUAUUUUAUUUGUUUAAUUACAAACAAAUAAUAUUAUGCACUUUUUCCAUAGUAAGACAUUGCAAUUUAUUAGUAUAUAUCAUCAUUUUUUAUAAAUGGUUUUGAUAGUUUAUUAUACGGCCCUAUAUAGCAAGUUUAUUCGCUUUAUAUUAUAUUUUAUUAUGUAAUAUUAUUGAAUAAGGCUAUAAUGGUGACCCAAUAAACAGCUGAUAAAAUAAACAAUCUAAUUGCACUGGCAUACCAAUAAAAUGGUAUGUAACACGAUUAAUUUCAAUUAUCGAAAUUUUAAAUGCAGUGUUAGUGUAUAUUUGAUUAGCAAUGCGAUAGAUUUGGGAUACCUUCGGGACCCGUCUUGAAACACGGACCAAGAAGUCUAACAUGUAUGCAAGUCAUUGGGUAUACACAUUGGAUGAAACCUAAAGGCAUAAUUAAAAUAACUAUUUAAAUGGGAUUAUGAGUGAUCUAUAAUUUAUGUAUCAUUCUUCCAUCCCGGGGCGCUCAUAUAUAAACAUGAUUUAAGCAAUUGAAUUCUCUGUUUGUGAGCGUACCUUAAGCAUACAUGCUGU
rnacentral:rRNA from 1 species